AUUACGGCUCAGUAACACGUGGGUAACCUGCCUCAUAGUGGGGAAUAGCCUCUCGAAAGGGAGAUUAAUACCGCAUAAGAUUGUAGUUCCGCAUGGAACAGCAAUUAAAGGAUUUAUUCGCUAUGAGAUGGACCCGCGGCGCAUUAGCUAGUUGGUGAGGUAACGGCUCACCAAGGCGACGAUGCGUAGCCGACCUGAGAGGGUGAUCGGCCACAUUGGGACUGAGACACGGCCCAGACUCCUACGGGAGGCAGCAGUGGGGAAUAUUGCACAAUGGGGGAAACCCUGAUGCAGCAACGCCGCGUGAGUGAUGACGGCCUUCGGGUUGUAAAGCUCUGUCUUCAGGGACGAUAAUGACGGUACCUGAGGAGGAAGCCACGGCUAACUACGUGCCAGCAGCCGCGGUAAUAAUC
rnacentral:rRNA from 1 species